rnacentral:rRNA from 1 species
UACGUAGGGUGCAAGCGUUAAUCGGAAUUACUGGGCGUAAAGCGUGCGCAGGCGGUUCGGAAAGAAAGGUGUGAAAUCCCAGGGCUUAACCUUGGAACUGCACUUUUAACUACCGGGCUAGAGUACGUCAGAGGGGGGUAGAAUUCCACGUGUAGCAGUGAAAUGCGUAGAGAUGUGGAGGAAUACCGAUGGCGAAGGCAGCCCCCUGAGAUGAUACUGACGCUCAUGCACGAAAGCGUGGGGAGCAAACAGG